rnacentral:rRNA from 1 species
AACGUGGGUAACCUGCCUCAUAGAGUGGAAUAGCCUUCCGAAAGGAAGAUUAAUACCGCAUAAUGUUGAAAGAUGGCAUCAUCAUUUAACCAAAGGAGCAAUCCGCUAUGAGAUGGACCCGCGGCGCAUUAGCUAGUUGGUGGGGUAACGGCCUACCAAGGCGACGAUGCGUAGCCGACCUGAGAGGGUGAUCGGCCACAUUGGGACUGAGACACGGCCCAG